UUAAUUUGGGUGUUAUUAAGCAAAUAGGCCUUACAAAGCAGCGACCAAAUGCAGGCAGUUCAUGGUUUGGGUGAGCCAAGCUUAGUUGCAUUCUCAGUUCAACCGCAAAGCAUUGAAGAGAAUCUUGCUUUCAGAGCAUGUCCAUCCUGAAAACAACUUUAAGAAACCAAGUACAUCAGGCUCAUUUUGAUGUUGUUGUGUAAUAGAUGUAGGAAUAGCUGGUUAUUUUUA
rnacentral:lncRNA from 1 species